GGGCGAAGGACUUUUGGGCCUACUGUUUGGCCAGGAUUCUGGUCAUCAGGGCAGAAUACCUCCCCGGUCUCCACAAAAGUCAUGCGGAAUGGAGUUCACGCUAUCUGGUGGACAGCAGCGAUUGAAACUUGGAUGUUGAGGUGUUCUCCACGCUCUCGUUGCUCGGGUGAUCUUUUGCCAUCGAUCUCUUCACAACCCGGCUUACCACCCAAUUACUUCAGUUCUAC